AGGAAUCCUCUGCCUAUUGGCUAAAAACAAAUGUUGUUAGCAUCUGUUCUUAUCGGUUAAAGCAUCUAAUGUAUUUUCUAUCUGUGUACAGGGCACUCAAUUAAUAUUUACAACUGGGAGAUGGAUUGGGAGCUUGCUCUAUCCAUUCCAUCCCUCAGCAUAGAAUUGCAAUGUUUUCAGGAAUGGUACAUUCCUU
ensembl:snRNA U2 U2 spliceosomal RNA